AUUGAACGCUGGCGGCAGGCCUAAUACAUGCAAGUCGAACGGUAACAUAAAAGAAGCUUGCUUCUUUUGAUGACGAGUGGCGGACGGGUGAGUAAUAUUUGGGAAACUACCUGAUAGAGGGGGACAACAGUUGGAAACGACUGCUAAUACCGCAUAAAGCCUAAGGGUGAAAGCAGCAAUGCGCUAUCAGAUGUGCCCAAACGGGAUUAGCUAGUAGGUGAGGUAAAGGCUCACCUAGGCGACGAUCUCUAGCUGGUCUGAGAGGAUGAUCAGCCACAUUGGGACUGAGACACGGCCCAGACUCCUACGGGAGGCAGCAGUAGGGAAUAUUGCACAAUGGAGGAAACUCUGAUGCAGCCAUGCCGCGUGUGUGAAGAAGGCCUUCGGGUUGUAAAGCACUUUCGGAGGGGAGGAAAAGAUGACGUUACCCUCAGAAGAAGCACCGGCUAACUCCGUG
rnacentral:rRNA from 1 species